AUUGACAACACCAAAGAUGUUGAGCUGUGCGUUUUUUGCUCUCCUCCUGGUCCUGCUGACUCUUUGCUCACAAUCAGCUGGUGCGACACUCCGCCCGUUCGAAAAUAUUCGAAUCGACAACUGGAAACUCGAGAUGAUGGCCAACGCGGAAGAAACUAUAGUCCAGUUUUGCCGGCAAAACGAAACCCGAAAUGAAAACCAUUGUAAAAAUCUGACUGAAUUGGUUUCAAAGUGCGGCUGCACCAUUUCUCCCACCGACGAGAACAAAGGCAACCUCAAUUGUCACAGUUCGCUCGCUGACUGUCCUCAGCAUCUGAGUCUCAACUUGCAGCUUGGCAACGUCACUGCGAAGCCCACUGAAGCUGCACUUGCCAGCAACACCGGCCACACCGCCACAAUUACUUGCUUCCUGGGUCCAUUCAUCUCACUCAUCGUGAUUUUGUUCUUCGUGUAAACAGUAUGGACUGGAAUAAUGCAUAAAAUUGGCCAUUUUCCUUAAUUUUGCGUUUAUUUUGAGCGAGCGCCUUUCAACUUAAAGUUGCUUGGCGUCUUCCACGCCCCGAAAUUUAUUUUUUCAAUCGCUUAUACUGUCUGGCACGUGACACACCCUGCUUUUCUUUUGCCUUGCCAAACACAUAAAAAAUUGACGCCUUAUUAUCAAAGUCACGUCGGCACCUGAAAAUGGCCAAUUUCGUGAUUAAAAUUCCAUUCCUCUCUCCUCUCUUGCGUGUUUGUGGUUGAUUUUUAGAAACAAACCAAAAUUUAUCAGUGUAAAAUUAUGAAAUACUAUUAUCUGUUUGAAUUGAACUACAACCAGCCGUAUGCAUGGCUAUUAAACUAUUGCACUAACGAAUGAAAGGUUCUUUUGUAUUGUUUGUACUGUACACUGCCUGCUUUUCAAUAUGUAACAAUUACCUCCGUCUUGUAACAGUAUGCAAAAUUAUAUCUUGACAAUUUAAUUGCACCAAUAAAUUUCAUAUCGCUAUA